rnacentral:rRNA from 1 species
UAAAGCAUCCGUAGCCGGUUCCGUAGGUCCUCUGUUAAAUCCACCCGCUCAACGGGUGACCUGCAGAGGAUACCGCGGGACUAGGAGGCGGGAGAGGCGGACGGUACUCCGCGUGUAGGGGUAAAAUCCUUUGAUCCGCGGAAGACCACCAGUGGCGAAGGCGGUCCGCCAGAACGCGCUCGACGGUGAGGGAUGAAAGCUGGGGGAGCGAACCGGAUUAGAUACCCGGGUGGUCCCAGCCGUAAACGAUGCUAGCUAGAUGAUUCAUUCGCAAGUCGCGAAUGAAGUGUCGCAGGGAAGCCGUUAAGCUAGCCGCCUGGGGAGUACGG